GCCGUUGUAGCUCAGGGGUAGAGCAACGCAUUCGUAAUGCGUGGGCCGGGAGUUCAAAUCUCCCCAACGGCACCA
rnacentral:tRNA from 1 species